rnacentral:lncRNA from 1 species
UGUGUUUGAUUGCGUGGUAACACUAAAUAUCUGGCUCUGGCCUCACCCUGGGGGUUGAGGGCUGGACUGUAGAUCUUCCUCAACAUCUCUGCUCCCCUCAGGGAUGUACUUUUCCCCCUUUCCCCAGAAUCCACAGUGAGUGGCAGCCGGCACGAGUGUCCACAAACCUGUUGGGACAGGGCAGGCAGCUUGUUUGCUCUUCCCAGGGCCAAGCCUGGUGGGCUGGACCCAGAAGUAUUGUGUUACUCAGCCAAAGAAUUCCUUUCCUCACCUACCUCCAUUUAUAAAGGGGAAACAAAACCCUGAGCGGUAUGCUUUCGUGGAGCGAAGCCAGGUCCUCAAGUGUCAUCUCUGGGGAGCUGCUUCCUCCCCAGGGCAGGGUGCGGCCUCCUGGGGAAACAAGAGCCCUUCUUUCUCCUUCCCACCCAUGGUGGUGGUGGUGGUGUCCCCACUUACCCUCAACAGACCUUGGAUUCUCUGUCACUACCCCCGAGUGCUUUCCUUAUCCCAGGUCCCAGCCCUUGAGAAUGGGGCAGGGCUUGUGGCUUCCCUGGGCCCAGUGGAGAACGGGACAGGGUUGCUGGGUGUCUGUCUCAGUUCCGGCUGGUGCUGGUGCACUCUGGCCAACAGAACCACCAAACACAUCAUCUGUUUGCUUUGAGAACUUGAGAUGGAUUUUAAAUCUUCCAGGGCACGUACUGCUACACUUCAGAGUUCUGGCCAGAACCAGGCAGCCCUGGGGAAGCCUGCACCAGUGCUGGGACGGCCCUUCCGAGUUGUGUCUUGCUGGAGAGUCCCAGGGCCAGCACAAAUCAUGAAAUACACCUGGUGAAACUCCUGAGUCACUGGAGGGCUUGAAGUUUCAGGAAGAGGAAGAGGAGGAGGUUCCUGUGUGGCAUCUUCAGAAAGAAGGAGGUUUGGCAAGUAUUAGCUCGAUCACUUGACAAACUCCUUUCACUUUACUCCUUUGAGCCUUUAGCUUAAGGGGAACAGGGCAUUGGUCAGUAAUUGAUUAAACUACCAGCAUCCCCAAUAUAUGGUUUUUGGGAGGCUCUGGCCCCUUGUGGGCUUUUAAAUGCUGCACAGAGAAGAAAUGAGGCUGAGAGCUUUGAGUCCUGGACAGGCAGAGUGUGUGCCAGGUCAUAGGGUCACUGGAUCACUAUUCCUUGGGAGAACCAUAGGAAUGCAAUUGUUUCUGGGUGUGGAGCGUUCAUGAAGCCAAGCUCCCUGUUGUGUGUGGGAAAUGAUGGUUAUGUGUUUAGCUAGACAAAGGAUGUUCCAUGCUACUCUUAAGCUGGAGGCUUUUGUUUUUCUUGGUAAUCAGGGCAUUCUAGGGGCAUUCCAAUGAAGAAUACUUGAAAGGGGAUAGAUAGAAAAGGAGAUCUUGAGAAAAAAGGAAGGACUAGUGUUUGGUUGUCUAGGGUUGUGCUUCCAAAAUCCCAAAGCAAUGUCACCUGAAUUUUUUUUUUAAACACCUCCAAACCAGCCAGCCAACCAACCAACCAAGCAACCAAGCAACCAAGAACCAAGCAACCAAGCAACCAAGCAACUAAGCAACCAAGCAACCAAGCAACAGAGUCAUGGCCACUCCAUAUCUACUGAAUCAGGUUCUCUAGAGGUGGGGCCCAAUGACUAUCUCUUCAUAGUAAGUGUCCCAUGUAAUUUAGAUGGAAAUUGUUCUCUAGGAAUUCUUGUGGGACUUUCAGUUAUAAGAAAAAUACAUCAGGUUUUUCAUACCAGCAAUAACUUGCUUAAGCAUAGGGACUUUCUUACCUUAUUAUCCCUAACAUUAUUUCCAGCACAAAGUUUGUGUCAAUAAGUAUUUGUAGAAGUAUCAUGGAAAAUAUUUCUUGAAGGUGGCCACUGACUGUGCAGGAAGUGGGGAAAAAUAAUGUUGGUAACAUGGAGGCAAAACUGUCAAAUAAAGCCCAAUGUUCAGUGUGUGGUGCUAAGUAAUGGUAAAGAAAAAAAAAGGUCUCUCUGCCUUGGACAGACCACAUGGUGAGUAGAAUAGCCCGGAAACAUUUUCUUUUUGCAAAGACUAUUUUUCCCCCAAACUCCAUGGCAUAAUAGCACCAAAAGUAAUAACUAUCAGGCUUUCUUGAUCAUCUUCCAAGAUCAUUUAUGGCAGUCUCAGGCCAUAGAUAAUAAUUAAAGCCACCUGGUCCUUGGUUUUCUCAUCUGCAAAAUAGGGCAUGGACACUUGCCAGCUGCCUGUGUUAAUGCAAGUUUGUCAGAGUGGCUAGAGGCCAUCUGUCUAGUACCAGAGGGAGUUCAGGAAUGGUCAUAAAGAGAGUUGGGCACCUUCCAGCCUGCCGUGGAGGCCAGGCUGUCACACACAAUAAAGCCCUGGCUUCUGAACACUGGCACUCAUCCAGGCGCCACUUGGGUUGAUGCAAUCUCUAUUUGAUCAGAUGAAUAUGAUUUCCUUUUCAUUGUGCCUAGUCACAAUGUCUAAUUAUUGAAGGCACAAUAAAGCUAAAAUUCCAAUGAUUAGGCCUAUUCCUAGAUAAGAACCUGCCAUCCAGCAGUCAGCCAUAUUUGCAGAUGAUGUCUGAGAACUUGGGAUGAGAGGUGGUUUGGAUCUUCCUGUUUCUUCAGAAUCAGAAUCAGAAGAUUUCAUUUUCAUAAUAAUGGGUAG